rnacentral:rRNA from 1 species
AGUGAACGCUGGCGGUAGGCCUAACACAUGCAAGUCGAACGGCAGCACAGUAAGAGCUUGCUCUUACGGGUGGCGAGUGGCGGACGGGUGAGGAAUACAUCGGAAUCUACUUUUUCGUGGGGGAUAACGUAGGGAAACUUACGCUAAUACCGCAUACGACCUACGGGUGAAAGCAGGGGAUCUUCGGACCUUGCGCGAUUGAAUGAGCCGAUGUCGGAUUAGCUAGUUGGCAGGGUAAAGGCCCACCAAGGCGAGGAUCCGUAGCUGGUCUGAGAGGAUGGUCGGCAGCACUGGAACUGAGACCAGGUCCAGACUCCGACGGGAGGCAGCAGUAGGGAAUCGUGCACAAGGGGCGAAAGUCUGACGGAGCAACGCCGCGUGAGUGAUGAAGGUCUUCGGAUCGUAAAACUCUGUUAUUAGGGAAGAACAAAUGUGUCAGUAACUAUGCACGUCUUGACGGUACCUAAUCAGAAAGCCACGGCUAACUACGUG